GGAGAGCUUGCUCUCGCUGACGAGCGGCGGACCGGUGAGUAACGCGUAGGAAUCUACCUGGUAGUGGGGGAUAGCCCGGGGAAACUCGGAUUAAUACCGCAUACGUCCUAUCUUGAAAGAGAGGGAGAAAGUGGGGGAUCUUCGGACCUCACGCUAUCAGAAGAGCCUGCGUAGGAUUAGCUAGUUGGUAGGGUAAAGGCCUACCAAGGCGACGAUCCUUAACUGGUCUGAGAGGAUGAUCAGUCACACCGGAACUGAGACACGGUCCGGACUCCUACGGGAGGCAGCAGUGGGGAAUAUUGGACAAUGGGGGCAACCCUGAUCCAGCAAUGCCGCGUGUGUGAAGAAGGCCUUCGGGUUGUAAAGCACUUUAAGUGGGGAGGAAGGCUCCAAAGCUAAUACCUUUGGGGAUUGACGUUACCCACAGAAUAAGCACCGGCUAACUCCGUGCCAGCAGCCGCGGUAAUACGGAGGGUGCAAGCGUUAAUCGGAAUUACUGGGCGUAAAGCGCGCGUAGGCGGCUGAUUAAGUCGGGUGUGAAAGCCCCGGGCUCAACCUGGGAACUGCAUCCGAUACUGGUCGGCUAGAGUAUGAGAGAGGAAGGUAGAAUUCCACGUGUAGCGGUGAAAUGCGUAGAUAUGUGGAGGAAUACCGGUGGCGAUGCGGCCUCCUGGCUUAAUACUGACGCUGAGUGCGAAAGCGUGGGGAGCAAACAGGAUUAGAUACC
rnacentral:rRNA from 1 species